GAGCUUUCCCCUUCGGGGGACAAAGUGACAGGUGGUGCAUGGUUGUCGUCAGCUCGUGUCGUGAGAUGUUGGGUUAAGUCCCGCAACGAGCGCAACCCUUAAGCUUAGUUGCCAUCAUUAAGUUGGGCACUCUAAGUUGACUGCCGGUGACAAACCGGAGGAAGGUGGGGAUGACGUCAAAUCAUCAUGCCCCUUAUGAUUUGGGCUACACACGUGCUACAAUGGACAAUACAAAGGGCAGCGAAACCGUGAGGUCAAGCAAAUCCCAUAAAGUUGUUCUCAGUUCGGAUUGUAGUCUGCAACUCGACUACAUGAAGCUGGAAUCGCUAGUAAUCGUAGAUCAGCAUGCUACGGUGAAUACGUUCCCGGGUCUUGUACACACCGCCCGUC
rnacentral:rRNA from 1 species